UGUGAGCUCGAUGAGUAGGGCGGGACACGUGGUAUCCUGUCUGAAUAUGGGGGGACCAUCCUCCAAGGCUAAAUACUCCUGACUGACCGAUAGUGAACCAGUACCGUGAGGGAAAGGCGAAAAGAACCCCGGCGAGGGGAGUGAAAAAGAACCUGAAACCGUGUACGUACAAGCAGUGGGAGCACGCUUAGGCGUGUGACUGCGUACCUUUUGUAUAAUGGGUCAGCGACUUAUAUUCUGUAGCAAGGUUAACCGAAUAGGGGAGCCGAAGGGAAACCGAGUCUUAACUGGGCGUUAAGUUGCAGGGUAUAGACCCGAAACCCGGUGAUCUAGCCAUGGGCAGGUUGAAGGUUGGGUAACACUAACUGGAGGACCGAACCGACUAAUGUUGAAAAAUUAGCGGAUGACUUGUGGCUGGGGGUGAAAGGCCAAUCAAACCGGGAGAUAGCUGGUUCUCCCCGAAAGCUAUUUAGGUAGCGCCUCGUGAAUUCAUCUCCGGGGGUAGAGCACUGUUUCGGCAAGGGGGUCAUCCCGACUUACCAACCCGAUGCAAACUGCGAAUACCGGAGAAUGUUAUCACGGGAGACACACGGCGGGUGCUAACGUCCGUCGUGAAGAGGGAAACAACCCAGACCGCCAGCUAAGGUCCCAAAGUCAUGGUUAAGUGGGAAACGAUGUGGGAAGGCCCAGACAGCCAGGAUGUUGGCUUAGAAGCAGCCAUCAUUUAAAGAAAGCGUAAUAGCUCACUGGUCGAGUCGGCCUGCGCGGAAGAUGUAACGGGGCUAAACCAUGCACCGAAGCUGCGGCAGCGACGCUUAUGCGUUGUUGGGUAGGGGAGCGUUCUGUAAGCCUGCGAAGGUGUGCUGUGAGGCAUGCUGGAGGUAUCAGAAGUGCGAAUGCUGACAUAAGUAACGAUAAAGCGGGUGAAAAGCCCGCUCGCCGGAAGACCAAGGGUUCCUGUCCAACGUUAAUCGGGGCAGGGUGAGUCGACCCCUAAGGCGAGGCCGAAAGGCGUAGUCGAUGGGAAACAGGUUAAUAUUCCUGUACUUGGUGUUACUGCGAAGGGGGGACGGAGAAGGCUAUGUUGGCCGGGCGACGGUUGUCCCGGUUUAAGCGUGUAGGCUGGUUUUCCAGGCAAAUCCGGAAAAUCAAGGCUGAGGCGUGAUGACGAGGCACUACGGUGCUGAAGCAACAAAUGCCCUGCUUCCAGGAAAAGCCUCUAAGCAUCAGGUAACAUCAAAUCGUACCCCAAACCGACACAGGUGGUCAGGUAGAGAAUACCAAGGCGCUUGAGAGAACUCGGGUGAAGGAACUAGGCAAAAUGGUGCCGUAACUUCGGGAGAAGGCACGCUGAUAUGUAGGUGAAGUCCCUCGCGGAUGGAGCUGAAAUCAGUCGAAGAUACCAGCUGGCUGCAACUGUUUAUUAAAAACACAGCACUGUGCAAACACGAAAGUGGACGUAUACGGUGUGACGCCUGCCCGGUGCCGGAAGGUUAAUUGAUGGGGUCAGCGCAAGCGAAGCUCUUGAUCGAAGCCCCGGUAAACGGCGGCCGUAACUAUAACGGUCCUAAGGUAGCGAAAUUCCUUGUCGGGUAAGUUCCGACCUGCACGAAUGGCGUAAUGAUGGCCAGGCUGUCUCCACCCGAGACUCAGUGAAAUUGAACUCGCUGUGAAGAUGCAGUGUACCCGCGGCAAGACGGAAAGACCCCGUGAACCUUUACUAUAGCUUGACACUGAACAUUGAGCCUUGAUGUGUAGGAUAGGUGGGAGGCUUUGAAGUGUGGACGCCAGUCUGCAUGGAGCCGACCUUGAAAUACCACCCUUUAAUGUUUGAUGUUCUAACGUUGACCCGUGAUCCGGGUUGCGGACAGUGUCUGGUGGGUAGUUUGACUGGGGCGGUCUCCUCCUAAAGAGUAACGGAGGAGCACGAAGGUUGGCUAAUCCUGGUCGGACAUCAGGAGGUUAGUGCAAUGGCAUAAGCCAGCUUGACUGCGAGCGUGACGGCGCGAGCAGGUGCGAAAGCAGGUCAUAGUGAUCCGGUGGUUCUGAAUGGAAGGGCCAUCGCUCAACGGAUAAAAGGUACUCCGGGGAUAACAGGCUGAUACCGCCCAAGAGUUCAUAUCGACGGCGGUGUUUGGCACCUCGAUGUCGGCUCAUCACAUCCUGGGGCUGAAGUAGGUCCCAAGGGUAUGGCUGUUCGCCAUUUAAAGUGGUACGCGAGCUGGGUUUAGAACGUCGUGAGACAGUUCGGUCCCUAUCUGCCGUGGGCGCUGGAGAACUGAGGGGGGCUGCUCCUAGUACGAGAGGACCGGAGUGGACGCAUCACUGGUGUUCGGGUUGUCAUGCCAAUGGCACUGCCCGGUAGCUAAAUGCGGAAGAGAUAAGUGCUGAAAGCAUCUAAGCACGAAACUUGCCCCGAGAUGAGUUCU
rnacentral:rRNA from 1 species